rnacentral:tRNA from 1 species
GGGGUGGUGGCGCAGUUGGCUAGCGCGUAGGUCUCAUAGCUAGAAAAAGCGAGUAAUCCUGAGGUCGAGAGUUCGAGCCUCUCUCACCCCA